CCCCCCCGCGCCGCGGUGCCGCUGCGGAGCCCCGCGGAGUUCCAGGUGAGUGCGGCCACCCGGCGCUGCGGGGCGUCUCCGGGGCUGCAGCAGCGCCUCCGACCCCACCUUCCCCCGCAGAUCAGCUUUGAGAUCACCACUCGGAGGUGGCCGAUGGAGGGGACGGUGGCACUGGAUGACAUCGCGUACAGCGCCAGGGUGGGCUGCCAUUCCAGCCCGGAGAGUCCCGUGGAAGGGAAACCCUCCGGCAAUUUUGUGACGGAGGUGGUGCUCAGUCUGCUCCUGGCCCUCGUCGUCGUGGGGCUGGUGGCUGCUGGGGGUUGGUACUGCCUGAAACAGCGACGGGUAGCGAGCAGGACACCGACAGAGAGCAACAGUCCCCAGGGCUUCGACAACAUCACCUUCCGGGAUGACAAGGUGAUUAUAUCUCCAAGGGAGGGGGAUGAGUCUUGAAAGUGGCAGCCAGCAGCAGGAAUUGCCUGCGCCCCCGGGCAGAGCACCCUCGACAGGAACCCGCACUCCAUCAGUUGCCCGCUCUCUGCCCCCGGCACCGGGGAGCCGGCACCCCGGGGAGCCCGUCCCGCCCCGGGACACACCGCCCAUCACUACCUCCACGUGCUCGGGAAAAGCCUUGUUGUUGUUUGUAACAUGAACUUUCUGUUUCCAAGACGCAGCAAUGUGCCCGUGCUUUGCCAGGGGGAAGGAGUGGGAGUUCUCGCGGUG
rnacentral:lncRNA from 12 species